GAGGAAAACUUCACUUGACUUAAGUCUCUUAACGCAAUACCGAAGAAAAAUAUACUCAAGUAAAAUUCCGUUUUGUCUAUCGGUUUUCGGUAGCAAAUACAAUGGAAAAACAAAACCUUAUGCCUAAAAAUUACCGACAUCAAUUAAGUAAUAGGGAACAUAGUAUUAUUAUUUAUCGUAACGGUCAAAUUCCAAAAAGCAUAAUAUAAACAGUUUGUAUUCCGGUCCGUGACACACACUAUAAUACGAAUAAUCAAAUAUAAUCAAAUAUAAUAUUAUACACCACAACGUCUGUUAAGUUCAUAAUUGAUUCACGUGCCCGACGUGUAUUAAUAACAGUACCUAAUAAUAAUAUUAUGACCGUCGGAACGCGCCGUUAGGGUGUUUUUUUUUUUUUUUACCGACCGGACUUCUCCGACAGUAAUAAUAACGAGUUAAACGUUUAGACUCGAGAAAAACCGGUAAAGAUCUUCAAGAUGUGAUUGUAUAUCCUACACCACGACGGAUAGUAAUAAUAAUUGUAAACGGGGCGGAUUUUGAACGUUUGCCCGGAGGAGGCAUGCCAUUGUAUAUUGUAAUAUUCCAUUUGUAAUUAUUAUCACACGAGCGUCGGUGAAAGAAAUAUUAAACGUUAUGCCCCCAACACAUUCAAACGAAGAAGAUAUUAUUUUAAUGUAUUCGAGGGUGGAAUUCUGUGUCGAAAUUCGAAUCUCAUCCCGCCUAGUGUAUAUAUAUAUGUAUAACAAGUCCUAUAAGAGUAGGUGGUGUACUCGUUUUUCUUGAUAAUAUUAUACUCGAAUGGCAGCUCUUUCGUGGUGUGUUGUAAUUGGUAAUUAUUAAUAACAAACGGGCUCUUCGAUAACGUCCAAAAUGUAUUAACGUAGGCUCGGCAUGGGAAACAAACGAAUACGAAUCGUUAUUAUUAUCAGCAUUAUGUCAUAAGCAACAGAAUAUGUUUUGUUUGUCUUAAACACUAUAUUAUUAUUGUGCUCGUUUGUUUUGCUUACCGACGGUUGUUUGUACAUGCGAUACCGACGUGGGAACGGCUCAAUAUACGGGAGAGAUAUAGGAAUUUUGCAAAUUUCCUAAGAACAUAGUCUUGAUUUUGAGACCAAAAGUUAAACAAAUAUCGUUAUCUUACUGUGUACAAAACACAAUAAUUGCGAUAUCCUAAUAAGGUAUCGUUUCGCCCAAACGUUUUGUCAUAAGUGAAUGAAAAACAAAAAAACAAAAUUAUUAUAUUUUCUACCGAGAACGGCUCGCUUGAUUUAAUUCGGUUAAAAUUUAAAGAAAAAAAAAUCUAUUCAUUUUUAUCUUUCUAUUAAAAUGCGGUUCACAUUAUUUACCGGUCGUUUGUAGUACAUUUUGUUCAAAAAUCAACAGCCUAUCGUUUCUGUAUCAUCGUUAUCAACCGUAUCACUAUGAAUAGAUUAUAUUCAUUGUAAGUAGGUAAUAUAACUGAUACUGUUUAAUUGGUCUGUACAAAGUGCUUCUUAUGUCCAAAAUCCAGUUUCUUUUUUUUUUAUUCGAUAAUACGAUGGCUCAAAAUCCAGCAGUUGCUAUAACAAAUUACAGUACACCGAGUUUGGGUUUUUUAACCGAGACUGGUGAGUUGAACAUUCUUCUGGGUUGUAGUUCUUCGACUGACAAUAUUACAAUAAUUAACGACGACCACUGCGAUAGCCGGAUGUGUUGUGCACCCAAAGACCUUGGCCAUACUUAGUUUCGGAAUAGACUGGCAACCCAUUGUCGGUAUUCGCCACCGGUAUAUAAUAUGUAAUAAUAGGAUAGCAGGAGGGGCUGCAGCCGGCUGGAAAAUAUAACUUCACCCUAAUACUUAUCUUGGGGAAAGAAAAAAAAAACACAAAAAUCAUUAACACACGGUAUACUUACAACGACCGAUCCUUAAGUACACGUUAAGAUAGUAGAGAUACGUUCUAGAGAUAAAACCAUUGCACCGUAAUAAAAGUCCUGAUACACUUAAAAUAUUUUAUUAAUAUGGUGUACGUUUUAUUUGUCGGUCGCCCUUUUCCUUUCUGUUCGUUAAAUCGAUUCUGGCGCAGGUACUCCAAAACGAAUGGAAGACGAGCAAAUCGAUUUUAAAUCCAACCCAAACAUUCUUCGUUAUUAUCAAGCAUCGAUUAUUAUUAUUGUACAUUAAUUAUAUUACACGGAAAUAAAUGCAAUUAAAAUAUCAACGAGUAACACACGUUACGUUUAAUAUAAACAGGUAAUAAAUUAAUAUUUUAAUGGCUAUUUUAACACACCGUCGACGUGACAAUAUUCAUAAUAUAAUAAUAAUAAUAUGUUAAUCCGUCAAUUAGUGGUAAAUUAGGUUUGACGGUUUUGUGAAAUGGUGUUUAUUGAAUUUGAUUUUAAUUCCAAAUACAAUUUGUCGGACAAUAAACAGCCGUCUAGACGACUUCUUGAUUGUGAAGGCCUCCAACAACAACAACAACAACAACGACUAGGAGAGAGAUGCCGUUCUCUAAACUCAAAACAAUUAAGAUCCUAUUGUAAAUAUAUUCUAUUUGACAAUAGAAUAACGUACAAAUCGUUCGAUCAGCACGACAGUAGGCAUUUCUAUUAUGAAGUAAAUAAAUGAUAAUUUUUAAUCUAUAUUUCGGAAUGCCGUUUUUUUUUUUUUUAAUAAUAUCAACGUGAAAUUAUUGUAUUUAGUGUGAAUCACGAUCGCUAGACAAAAAAAAAAUAUAAUAAUAAUAAAAAAAAAAUACUCUUUGUCGGUCGGUCAGUGUACAUAGCCGUGUAAUAAUUGCCGUAGCAACUCCUUACACGGCUCGACAGUAUUCGGUGAUAUACCCCGAACACGAGGCUAAAGAAAAUCUUAAAUCAGUGUGAGCUCAAAAAUAUGCGCUUGUGCACGCCUCGUAUUAGUUUUUCUUGAUCUUCAUCAUCCGAGAUUGUGUCUGUGAUCCCAAUCGAACAGCAUUCUACCACGAACCGUAUAGACCGUCUAACAACGCCGCUUGUUUGAGAGUAAUUCAUUGAGCAACAAUAAAAAAAAAAAAUAUAUAUAUAUAUAUAUACAUCGAAUCGCACCAACCUAUAUAAUAUAUACCGGGUGAUUCUUUUGACGCCGACCUACACCAGUUUUCUAUUUGUAUCAUCCUGUAUGCACACUGUGUAACCGUCGUGUCCGACUUAAAUUAUAACAUUAUGUUAGUGUCUAAGGCCUAAGUGUACACCGAAGCAGAACGUUCGGUAAAUGUACCGCAAGACGUUGACGUUCUUUAGUGUGUUUCUUCGUUUCCUGCAAGUAGACUCCAAUGACAAUACAGUGCAACACAAUAAUAACAGUACAUUACAGCGUUGCGAUUCAAAAAAAAAAAAAUAAUCUACAACAC